CCGGCCCUUUGCUUUGAUCUCUCGUAAUCUUUUUUUUUUCUUCUUCUCUUUGUUUUGGCUCUCGCAAUACUAUAUGGUGAAACAUAACAUGGUGCUUUCACUGAAAAAAGAAGAAGAUAGGGAUUCACUGGUCCACGUGAUUGAUUUGUCAGAGUGAUUGCAUAUCGCAGCCUUCUUGCAGUUGCAGGGAUCUCAUACCGUCCGUCACCACUCACCAGCGCAGGCACUUCUCCCCGUACCGAUCGAUCGCGGCCUAACCUACGCGCACCAAUCUCAUACCGUCGCCACUCACCAACAGCAGGCAGCGGAACACAGCGAAAGGUGCAGGUUAAAAGUCAAAAAUCAAUGUAGAACCAUUUUUUUCUCACUACUUACAGUUUUUAAUUUUUUUUUUGUAACCACAAAAACCAGGUUCAAUGACUCACGGGUACGGAGAUCGCAGAUCGCAGGCUCCCCAACCAGACUCAUGUGUCAUUUUUCGAUGUUUGAUUGAUCGGGACUCUUAUGUUCCAUCCAUGUGAAUCCUCAUCUCCUUGUAGUACCUCUGCUUCAA
rnacentral:lncRNA from 1 species